ACGGUAAAAUGUGAUGUUACUUUUUCUGUUUUCAAAACAAAGAAAGUUGUUGCUAGAGCAUCGACAUAACAAUUCUCCCCAUGUUGGCUAUGUUCAAAGAAUACACUGACCAGAGCAUUAUUGCGGAAGAUACCAGAGGCUUUUGUUAUUUUCCCAAUAAAACAUAUACCCUUCAACGAAA